GGCACAUAAGUACGCGUUGAACUUUGACAAUUGCGAAACUUUAUCAUCAAGACCUCAAACAGAACUUUGCAACAAAUAAUUUGUUCGUUCGAAAUAAUUAAAAAUGUCAGAACCGAAUCUGCAAUCGAAUGAAAUAAACGCCGGUGAAACGGAUGAAUCGCCUGUUAUUAAAAACAUCUCAAUGACAUACGUUUGUGGCGAAUGCCACUCAGAUACGGUUUUAUCACCGAAAGAUCUGGUUCGGUGUCGAGAAUGCGGCUUUCGUAUUUUAUAUAAGAAGAAGACAUCGAGAAUUGUCGUUUACGAUGGACGCUAGGAGUUUUUCAAAAACAACAUUCAAAGACAAUGUUACCAAUGGACGCAGGACUCCUCUUAAUAACACAAAUAUUCAGAAAA